CAAUAAUACAAAGUAAUCAGUAGAUCUUUUGCAAAAUGUUACCCUAGGCAAUUUGUGAAAAUCUUAAUGUUAAAAACUGGCAGAGACAAUCGCCGCCCUAGAAUUCCUGGUAUCAAUUGCUUAAUGUGUCAUUUCUCCUCCCCAGAGGCAGUAUCUAAGCAAGACACAAAUGGUUUGCAUUUCUUGGCAGACUGGAGUGUAAGACUGGGAAGGGCUUCCUUCCUCUACCGCAAUAGGACCCGAACUAAAGAUCAGCAUAAGCAGCAGCUGGAAGCUGCAUGUUCUUGAGCGCAAGCUAUCUGACCACCUUCAGCCUGCCCCUCAAGGCUAUAGUAAGCAUAGAUUGUAUGCAUUUUAAAGAAAAAGAAAAUAAAUGCCAGUGGUGGUGGUCCAGGAGCCUCCAGGACAGUGGAUUCCAUCAUGGCGACCCCACUUAUGAGAUGCAGCUUCAAGCCCCCCGCCCCUCCACUCCACACUGGGAGAGCACCACAGCUGGUCUUGAUGGACCUUAGCUCAGAGCUGUCUCAUCCUCAGAAACUGUCCUGUACCAGAGGAGACUCCCAAAGCCUUGUCCCACAGCCACUUACAUCUUAUGGAGGGCCUCAGGUACAUCACUGGGAACCUUAAGUUAAAAAGGAAAUGGAAGAGUAGGGCAUAUCAGUCCUAGAGUCUUUACAGGGGGCCAAUCCCAACAAGAAGGGUAGAAUUGGAGAAGUGGGCACCUUUGUCUCUCUGGCAGGUCAUCUAACAGACUAGUAACAGUGUGUGUGACCCAUCUGACAAUUUUUCUGUCACCACUCAAAGAUGGACAGUUUAUUCCCAAGGAUGGGGGAGAGGGACAAACAGGGCUGGAAGGGUCUCAGAAGAUUUCCAACAGAUGGAACCCAUCUGUCCCUCCCUAUUCUCAAGGGCCACGUAUGACUCCAGGGGUGGUUAUAGGAUUAACUACCAGUUCAUUUUCAAAAUGCUGCUUUGAACUCAGAGGGUUGAUACUUUUAAUUUGUAAUUUUUUGUAAAACUUUUUACACAAUAGUAAAGUAUUUCACCAGAAUACCAGU
ensembl:lncRNA